rnacentral:rRNA from 1 species
CUUUAACGGAAUUCUUCGGAAGGAAGAUAAAGUGACUGAGCGGCGGACGGGUGAGUAACGCGUGGGUAACCUGCCUCAUACAGGGGGAUAACAGUUAGAAAUGGCUGCUAAUACCGCAUAAGCGCACAGGACCGCAUGGUCUGGUGUGAAAAACUCCGGUGGUAUGGGAUGGACCCGCGUUGGAUUAGCUAGUUGGUGGGGUAACGGCCUACCAAGGCGACGAUCCAUAGCCGGCCUGAGAGGGUGAACGGCCACAUUGGGACUGAGACACGGCCCAGACUCCUACGGGAGGCAGCAGUAGGGAAUAUUGCACAAUGGGGGAAACCCUGAUGCAGCGACGCCGCGUGAAGGAAGAAGUAUCUCGGUAUGUAAACUUCUAUCAGCAGGGAAGACAAUGACGGUACCUGACUAAGAAGCCCCGGCUAACUACGUGCCAGCAGCCGCGGUAAUGCGUAGGGGGCAAGCGUUAUCCGGAUUUACUGGGUGUAAAGGGAGCGUAGACGGACGGGCAAGUCUGAAGUGAAAGGCAGGGGCUCAACCCCUGGACUGCUUUGGAAACUGUCCAUCUAGAGUGCCGGAGAGGUAAGCGGAAUUCCUAGUGUAGCGGUGAAAUGCGUAGAUAUUAGGAGGAACACCAGUGGCGAAGGCGGCUUACUGGACGGUAACUGACGU